rnacentral:rRNA from 1 species
CGGUUGAUCCUGCCGGACCCCACUGCUAUCGGGAUGGGACUAAGACAUGCUAGUCGAGCGUCUCUAAGCUAUGGAAGAGACGCGGCACACAGCUCAGUAACACGUGGCUAACCUGCCCUUGGGACAAGGACAACUCCGGGAAACUGGGGCUAAUCCCUGAUAGGUGAGAACUCCUGGAAUGGAUUCUCGCUGAAAGGACGUUUAGACCAUGCCUCUAGGCGUCGCCCAAGGAGGGGGCCGCGACCGAUCAGGCUGUUGGUGAGGUAACGGCUCACCAAGCCUUUAACCGGUACGGGCCGUGAGAGCGGAAGCCCGGAGAUGGGCACUGAGACAAGGGCCCAGGCCCUACGGGGCGCAGCAGUCGCGAAAACUCCGCAAUACACGAAAGUGUGACGGGGCUAUCCCGAGUGCCAUCCGCUGAGGAUGGCUUUUCCCCAGUGUAUAAAGCUGGGGGAAUAAGGAGAGGGCAAGCCUGGUGUCAGCCGCCGCGGUAAUACCAGCUCUCCGAGUGGUGGGGAUGUUUAUUGGGCCUAAAGCAUUCGUAGCCUGCUUGGCAAGUCCUCCGUUAAAUCCAACGAUUCAAUCGUUGGGCUGCGGGGGAUACUGUCCGGCUAGGGGGCGGGAGAGGCCGACGGUAUCCCCGGGGUANGGGUGAAAUCCUAUAAUCCCGGGAGGACCACCAGUGGCGAAAGGCUGUCGGCUAGAACGCGCUCGACGGUGAGGGAUGAAAGCUGGGGGAGCGAACCGGAUUAGAUACCCGGGUAGUCCCAGCUGUAAACGAUGCNGGCUAGGUGUU